GGUUGUGGCUUAGAGAUAGAGCACUUGCCUAGCAUGUAUGAGGUACUGAGUUCGAUCCUCAGCACCA
rnacentral:tRNA from 1 species